UACGGAGGAUGCGAGCGUUAUCCGGAUUUAUUGGGUUUAAAGGGUGCGUAGGCGGAAAAAUAAGUCAGUGGUGAAAACCUUCAGCUUAACUGGAGACUUGCCAUUGAUACUGUUAUUCUUGAGUAUAGUUAAGGUAGGCGGAAUGUGUAAUGUAGCGGUGAAAUGCUUAGAUAUUACACAGAACACCAAUUGCGAAGGCAGCUUACUGAGCUAUAACUGACGCUGAUGCACGAAAGCGUGGGGAGCGAACAGGAUUAGAUACCCUGGUAGUCCACGCCGUAAACGAUGAUCACUCGCUGUUGGCGAUACACAGUCAGCGGCUAAGCAAAAGCAUUAAGUGAUCCACCUGGGGAGUACGGCCGCAAGGCUGAA
rnacentral:rRNA from 1 species